GCAAGUGGGUAAGCAGGUAGAAUAUGGGAAGUGGAAAUUCCUGAUCAAACGAGACUUCAAAGGUCAGCAGAUGAGAAAAGUUGGUAAUAUUCUAACUUGUUUGUGUGGAAGAAAUACUUGACACAAAAUUUCUGGGAAUUCCGACCGACUGAAAGUUUUCUUUCAACAGAUCUUGUGUUUGUUAUUUCUCCCGUAAUUAGCACGUCAGCAAUAUUCUAUUAAUUUUAACAGAGUUUUGUUUUUUGCAUUUUCUUUAGUUCUAGGAUUUUGGACUAAAAGUGCUACUGUUUACAAACAUGAAGGACUUUAUUUGCGUCUAGAGGUAUCUAACAAGGGUCAAAGUAAUCUUCACACAUACAUAAUGGACCAUUUUGAUUUGUUUUCUCGGCUUGGGGCCUUAAUUUAUGCUCAUGAUAGCUAUUUAUUGCAGAAGUGUUUUCUGAGAAUAAGUUUGACCUAAGAAGAAAUGUGACCGAGGAAUUUGAGGCGUUGACCAACAAUGCUGGAAGAAGAUUCUGAAAGGGAAUGGGGGAGCUUACAUUCAAAGAGUUGAUGAUGCUGAUCUUAUUUCCCACUCGGUAAAUUAAUCAAUUAAAACUAUAAUCAUUGAUGUACUAUAAAAUUUCUUCCCCAAUCGAGAAGUGGAAAAAGAGACAGAAAAAUAGAGGAUCGUUCACCUGGAAUUUUUUUUUCUUUUUCUGUUUUAGGGGCGAGCACUAUAAAACUGAUGCUUUAGUAGUUAAAUAAGGAAAUUUGAUAAUGUUGAUAAGUUUGAGUUUGGUUGUUUUGCAGUUCUGGUACUACUCACCUCACGGGAAUUCAAAGUUUGUUACUUCCAAUGAUGAAUUGAUGGAGUACUCCGCCAUGUAGAUAUUCAAGACCUCUUUUGCUUUUAUGAACAGGUAAUGCUGUUUUCGUUUUACUUAUUAAUAUUCCACAAUUUUUAUUCUUGAAUAUGAGUAUUAUCAUGGCUGAGGUUGAGUUGGAGAUUUGUGUAUGAUAAAGGCUUUUAUGUUUGGAACUUCUAAUAGUUAAACAAUUUUACAUAGUUCAGGGACAAAUUUGGAAUUUUUCCUUAUUAAGAUUUAUAUUUCUUUUAAAAAAAGGCAGUCUGGUGCAUGAAACAUCCCGUGUUUGGUCCGAGGAGGGCCGCACCCCUUCAAGUAAAAAUUAAAAUUCAAUUGUAUGACUCAAAAAUGCAAAAACCAAUCAAGGCAAAGGGGUGCUUACAAUCGGGUAACAACUUUGUACCAUUUUCAAAGUAUAUUUAAACUAAGAAAUGGAGUUAUAAUAAAGUGCAAAAUUUCAAAUAAUAAUAUAGAUUGGUUAUUUCUAAUUACACGAUAUAAUUUGUUAUAACUAGUAGAUAUUGCUGUAUAUUUCAAGAACCAAAGUUUCAAGUUUUUUCCAAAAAUAUUAUUCAUGUGUACACAAGUCAGAAUAGUUAACUCAUUCGCACUCUAUCGAGGAUAUAACAAUGUGAUUGUGACUUCAUUUUUUGAACUGGCUGUCUGUGAUCCUGAUUUUGCUUCAUCAAAUAUGUUUCUUUCUGUGAAAUACCCUGGUUCUUUAGCUUCUGGCAGAGGACUCUCAUUACCCAACAUCAGAACCACAGAAGACAUGUUUGGCCUAUCUUCUGGACUUUGUUGCACACAUAAAAGACCCACUUGGAUUGACCUUAAAACUUGAGAUAUAUGGCAAGAAUCAGCUAGCUCCUCAUCAAUUAGUUCCAAGGACCUAUCUUCUUUGUAAAGCUUCCAUGCCUGUUUGAGUUUUGAUCAGGGAUCUAAUAAAUUCCAUGCGUUGUACAGAAAGAAAAUGAGUUAUGUAUGUGUAAUGCAGACUAUAUAUAGAGUGCUUACAUGACCGAGAAGGUUAAGGUUGUGAUCUUGAUGGACAAAUCCUCUAUUUUUC
rnacentral:lncRNA from 1 species